AGCAGCCGCGGUAAUUCCAGCUCCAAUAGCGUAUAUUAAAGUUGUUGCAGUUAAAAAGCUCGUAGUUGAAUUUCGGGAUCAAUUUGCUGGUCGUGCCUUCGGUACGCACUGGUAUUAUUGGUUUCUCCUUUCUGAUGAAUCGCGAUGUCAUUAAUUUGGUGUCGUGGGGAAUCAGGACCGUUACUUUGAAAAAUUAGAGUGUUUAAAGCAGGCUCACGCUUGAAUACAUUAGCAUGGAAUAAUGAAAUAGGGCGUUUGAUUCUAUUUUGUUGGUUUCUAGGAUCGACGUAAUGAUUAAUAGGGAUAGUUGGGGGCAUUAGUAUUCAAUUGUCAGAGGUGAAAUUCUUGGAUUUAUUGAAGACUAACUACUG
rnacentral:rRNA from 1 species